UGCUUUGUAAUUGCAUAAGGUCUCAGCACCAACAAAAUCACAGAAAAUGUGAAAUGUAUUAUCAUAACAGUCAACUUGCUUAGAAUGUAGUCGAACCUGCAUGCAGUAUUGAGACACCAGACAACUGUUUCAGUCUCCACAUUUCUUUCAUUUCCUUUAUGAAAGUUUCAUUAAGAAAAAAAAAUAACUCCCUUGAGUAUUCUGAUAUUUUCGGUGAGUGAAACAGUAAUCUCAGCAAAGUUCAAUCUUGAUAUCAGACAGCAGAAUUUCAGGUUGUUUCAUCUAAUUGCCACUUAAUACCAAAGACAUGAUAUUUAUUAGCAUGUAUUUCUAAUGAGAAACUAUUAUAGUCGUCCUCAAUUGUCUGAAGCCUCUGAGAAGUCAUACAUCUAGAUAGACCUAAACUGUAAGUGCAGAAGUGCUACAGUAAACUAUAUGGGCUUUCUACUAAGUACUGGCUAAUUUUAAAACAUACUGAAAUUUAUAUACAUUAGUUUUUGUUAUAAGAAUUGAGAAUCCGCAUUGUAUUAUAAAGUUGAUCUACAACAGUCACUUUAUUAUAAAAUAUUUUCGGCCUGGCGCGUUGGCUCACACCUGUAAUCCCAGCACUUUGUGAGGCCGAGGCAGGCAGAUCACCUGAGGUUGGGAGUUCAAGACCAGCCUGACCAACCUGGAGAAAACCCCAUCUCUACUAAAAAUACAAAAUUAGCCGGGCAUGGAGGCAGGUGCCUGUAAUCCCAGCUACUCCGGAGGCUGAGGCAAGAGAAUCGCUUGAACCUGGGAGGCGGAGGUUGCAGUGAGCCAAGAUCUCACCAUUGCACUCCAGCCUGGGNNNNNNNNNNCCAGCCUGGGCAACAAGAGUGAAACUCCAUCUCAAAAAAAAAAAAAAAAUUCACCAGGAGGAAAGUGCUUACCUAUUUGAACAACUCUGUACGGGUCUAUACAGUAUUCUGAGGCUCUUCAAUAAGCACAUGGUGAUGACCCAGGUCAGUCGUGGCAAGGUUGGGGAAUUAGAACAAACCUCUGUGGCAAACACAGAUUACAGCUUGAAGUGAGCAUCACGGAUUUCUACAACAAACACUCUGACAAAUAUUUCCUAUGAUAAACAUCCACGUUCUCGAGGUGGGACAAUUAACCCAAACUUUCCAAAUUACAUAAAAACUUUUGCUCUAUCUAAUUGAGCUGAUAAAUUC
rnacentral:lncRNA from 1 species